CAAUUUUGUCCCCACGAUCCUGCGAAAAUGGUCCUUGGCAUGCUUCCACGCCCCUUCAAUUUUGUUGGUAUUGACAGAGAUGGUCUGGCCUGUUGCAAUAUCGAGGUAUUUCCUUUUUAUACGCCCGUAUAAAAUACGGGACGUAUUAUGUGAAACCCCUUGGCGGCGGGCGGCGGGCGGCGGGCGGAAGGCAUCACUUUGUCCGGACUCUAAUUCAAAUUGUAUUCAUCCGAUCUUCACCAAACUUGGUCAGCAGUUGCAUCUAGUUGAUAUCUAGGCCAAGUUCGAAUAUGGGUCAUGCCGGGUCAAAAACUAGGUCAUAGGGUCAAUAAGUGCAUUUUCAAAGGGGCCACUUUGUCCGGACUCUAUUUCAAAUUGUAUUCAUCCGAUCUUCACCAAACUUGGUCAGCAGUUGCAUCUAGUUGAUAUAUAGGCCAAGUUCGAAUAUGGGUCAUGCCGGGUCAAAAACUAGGUCAUAGGGUCAAUUAGUGCAUUUUCAACGGCGCCACUUUGUCCGGACUCUAAUUCAAAUUGUAUUCAUCCGAUCUUCACCAAACUUGGUCAGAAGUUGUAUCUAGACAAUAUCUAGGUCAAGUUCGAAUAUGGGUCAUGCCGGGUCAAAAACUAGGUCACAGGGUCACUUAAACCAUUUCAAGCAUUUAGCAUGGUGUCCGCUCUCUAAUUGAAGUAGUUAUCAUCCGAUCUUCACCAAAUUUGGUCAGAAGUUGUGUCUAGACAAUAUCUACAUGUAGGUCAAG